rnacentral:rRNA from 1 species
CCUUCGGGAAGCGAGCGUACACAGGUGCUGCAUGGCUGUCGUCAGCUCGUGUCGUGAGAUGGUUGGGUUAAGUCCCGCAACGAGCGCAACCCUGCAUUCAGUUGCCAUCGGGUAAUGCCGGGCACUCUGGAAGGACUGCCAUCGAACAAGAUGGAGGAAGGUGGGGAUGACGUCAAGUCAUCAUGGCCCUUAUGUCCAGGGCGACACACGUGCUACAAUGGCCGGCACAACGGGAAGCGAGUUCGCGAGGACAAGCGGAUCCCUUAAAGCCGGUCGCAGUUCGGAUUGAAGUCUGCAACUCGACUUCAUGAAGCUGGAAUCGCUAGUAAUCGUGGAUCAGCCAAGCCGCGGUGAAUACGUUCCCGGGCCUU